UCUCUCGGCCCCAAGGCUCUCGGAUAACAGAGGCGACGGAGGGAGGAACGGGCAGCGCGAGGCAGCGGCAGAAGAAGGCAAAUCAAGUUCACCGAACCGAGGAUAAAUUGCACAAGGGCAAGUGAGGCCAAAGCGAGUAAUUGAGUUGAGGGAUAAGCAUACCAGGUUGAACGUCAAGAGGAAGGAAUAUUGAUCGGAGUCGAUGCUAUUAAAUAAUCAAGUGGAUUUCUCUACGAUUCGUGUCUUCAUACACGAAGUCGUUUAGUGAGGACCUAUUCCGCUGUACUUUUGUCAAGUUAGGAUUUCAAAGUCUCACCUCCGAACUCUGAUUUAGUUGAUAUGAUGAAUUAUUCUAUUUUGAGAUCUUGUAAUCAAAUACUUGGCUUCUAAUUUGUGGAAUCAAUUGAUUGGCCUUUCGGCAAGUCCCUUGAGUUCUUUCUCCGUUUCGUUAAUUCCGCUUAUUAGUCACGGAUUUCCCGCUUUUGCUAUCAUUAGCAAAGUGCGGUCGUGACAGAGUGGUAUCAGAGCCUCAGUUUCUUUCCUGCUCUGAGAUCCGCACAUUUCUUCAGUAAAGAUCUAGACUUGUUCACUAGAUAUUUCCAAGUAAUCGACUCGAUCAAUACUCCAAGACGUUCAACCAAACAAGUUGAAAGAUGAAGAAGCGGGAAAUUUUGAGAUAACUAAAACAAAGUGCGCCGAGAAUAUUUUACCUAGUCAAGAUAAUAGAAAGAACUGAGAGGGAAUAAGUACUCUCCCUAAAAAAUGUAGUUCAAACUGGGACUAUGAAGGAUGAACCAUAAAUCCUACUAUUGCUUUCCCGAGCAACAAUUUUGAGACGAUGCUAGAUAAGAGUUAAUCACGAACGCAUGAUCUAAGGCGACACGACUUUUGCACAAGAAGAGCUAAUGCCCAAAUGCGUAGGAGCACGAGAGGGGCAACUGUUGAAGAGAAAGACGAGGAACGGUGCUAUAAGGGAAUAGCGCAAGAUAGAUCCUCACUGUGGCCAAGCCACUCAUGUAAGAUCCGAAAGCAAGUGUUGAUCCCAUCACGUUUCAUGAGACCUUAUAGAAACGCUCGAUCUGAGAUAUGAACUUAGUCUAAUGACGUUAGAUCACACAAUAUGUGGCUCUAGUUGAUGACUUUCCCUACAUGGAUUUUCGUGCAUCGAUUCGUUUUCUUUCGAAUACCUUCGACGGACUCAAGAUAUCCCCACCACAUGGAUGAAAUAGACAAAUUUAAUCAGCAGUACUUACUUGGAUUUCCAGAAAAUCUCUUUCUUUGAACAUCCUUAACGAAAAUGCCUUCAUGUCUGUUUAACACUAUUGAUCGACCUGCGUUUUGCAAAGCAGGUUGUCAAUACUUUCCUUCUUCUAUGAAAGUUGUGACCCAUUUCCAGAUCAUGGUUAAAAAUUUAAAUUUCAGACACUUUGAGCAAUUGGCAAUACAAAUCAAUGUACCACUUCUUAUCUUGGGUACAUCAGAUCGCUAUUCACUUCCAGUUUCUAUGAGCACGAGCUUUGCUAUAAUAUUUUUUUUUCAGACAUGCCGAUUAGCGACAACUUUGGUUACUCAUCAUUAGUACGAGUGAAAUAUUUACUUCGCAAGCCCAAUCGCAUCAUUACUCUAAAGUUGUUUGUCUUCAGAACCUCAGACCAAGCUCAUUUUUUUUCUAAACCUCGUCUUUAAUGAAUGACGUAUUCUUCUUGGAACUCCUGUCAACUCUUGUUAUUUUGGAAACAUGUAUAUGACAAGUUCUUUCUUGCAAGACUUGAGAUUUUCUCAUGUUCAAUUCC